ensembl:lncRNA
UAGAUGGUUGCGUAUUGGGGCUAGAUGGUAGAUGGUUGUGUAGUGGGGCUAGAUGGUAGAUGGUUGUGUAGUGGGGCUAGAUGGUAGCUGGUUGUGUAGUGGGGAUAGAUGGUAGCUGGUUGUGUAGUGGGGCUAGAUGGUAGAUGUUUGUGUAGUGGGGCUAGAUGGGGGCUAGAUGGCAGCUGGUUGUGUAGUGGGGCUAGGUGGUAGAUGGUUGUGUAGUGGGGUUAGAUGGUAGCUGGUUGUGUAGUGGGGCUAGAUGGGGGAUAGAUGGUAGCUGGUUGUGUAGUGGGGCUAGAUGGUAGAUGGUUGUGUAGUGGGGCUAGAUGGGAGAUGGUUGUGUAGUGUGGCUAGAUGGUAGAUGGUUGUGUAGUGGGGUUAGAUGGUAGAUGGUUGUGUAGUGUGGCUAGAUGGUAGAUGGUUGUGUAGUGGGGCUAGAUGGUGGAUGGUUGUGUAGUGUGGCUAGAUGGUAGAGGGUUGUGUAGUGGGGCUAGAUGGUAGAUGGUUGUGUAGUGGGGCUAGAUGGUAGAUGGUUGUGUAGUGGGGCUAGAUGGUAGAUGGUUGUGUAGUGGGGCUAGAUCGUAGAUGGUUGUGUAGUGGGGCUAGAUGGUAGAUGGUUGUGUAGUGGGGCUAGAUGGUAGAUGGUUGUGUAGUGGGGUUAGAUGGUAGAUGGUUGUGUAGUGGGGCUAGAUGGUAGAUGGUUGUGUAGUGGGGCUAGAUGGUAGAUGGUAGAUAGUUGUGUAGUGGGGCUAGAUGGUAGAUGGUAGAUGGUUGUGUAGUGGGGUUAGAUGGUAGAUGGUUGUGUAGUGGGGCUAGAUGAGUAGAUGGUUGUGUAGUGGGGCUAGAUGGUAGAUGGUUGUGUAGUGGGGCUAGAUGGUAGAUGGUACAUGGUUGUAUAGUGGGGCUAGAUGGUAGAUGGUUGUGUAGUGGGGCUAGAUGGUAGAUGGUUGUGUAGUGGGGCUAGAUGGUAGAUGGUACAUGGUUGUAUAGUGG